AGCAUGGCCUAGUGGUUUGAGUGUCGGACUACAACUCUGGAGACCAGGGUUCGAUUCCCAGUCAGCUA
rnacentral:tRNA from 1 species